GUGCUGGCUUUGGCAGCGCGUGCGCUAAAAUUGGAAUGAUACAGAGAAGAGAGGGAUGGGUCCCGUGCAAGGAUGACAAAAUUUGUGAAGCUUUGAAAACAAAC